GAUGAACGCUGGCGGCGUGCCUAACACAUGCAAGUCGAACGGAAUUUACAUGAAGCCUAGCGAUUGUAAAUUUAGUGGCGGACGGGUGAGUAACGCGUGGGUAACCUGCCUUGUACUGGGGGACAACAGUUGGAAACGACUGCUAAUACCGCAUAAGCGCACAGCUUCGCAUGAAGCAGUGUGAAAAACUCCGGUGGUACAAGAUGGACCCGCGUCUGAUUAGCUGGUUGGUGAGGUAACGGCCCACCAAGGCGACGAUCAGUAGCCGGCCUGAGAGGGUGAACGGCCACAUUGGGACUGAGACACGGCCCAAACUCCUACGGGAGGCAGCAGUGGGGAAUAUUGCACAAUGGGGGAAACCCUGAUGCAGCAACGCCGCGUGAGUGAAGAAGUAUUUCGGUAUGUAAAGCUCUAUCAGCAGGAAGAAAAUGACGGUACCUGACUAAGAAGCCCCGGCUAACUACGUG
rnacentral:rRNA from 1 species